rnacentral:lncRNA from 1 species
AAAAGCCCUCCAUUCUAUGGAGAUUGAUUGCAUUCACUGUAUCUCCUAGCCUCAAAAUAGAUUUAAUAAACAUCUGUAUCUAGUCAUGCAAAAUUAUCUUUUUUUUUGUAAGGCUUUGCCGAACAGUUUCUGAAAAAUUUGAAUUUAUGGCAUGAGAGAACAUGCUCUUCCCACCAGAAUGUGCAGAGCCUAUGAAAGCCUCGAGCUGAAGCUGGUGGGUACCUGACUUCUGCCUUGCACUGCUCUGCUGCUACAGGAGGACUGCAGCUUCCUAUCAACUAGAUAUGGGUGUGCAAAGAAAAUAGACUCAAUACGAACCAACUAAAAAUUACUGAAUACCACCAAGGCAGAAUUUUGCCCAUGAAACUAGCUUUGACAAUUGUAGUCUUCAGAGACUUUUUGGUUGUUCUUCGUUCUUCUGUGGGAAGAUGAAAAAGGAAAAUGGAAACUCCCAUUAACCACUUCAAAAGUGGCCAAGUAAGAAAAUCCAUUAACUAUUCUGACCUGU